AUUUCAUGCCCUUCCCCAUAAAUUCAGCAGGUAAUCAAUAAUGCAUACAGUAUGUCAGCUUGAUUAAUAACAGAAACACCCUGCUAUCAAUACAAGAAUCCAAAAUCAACCUGUGGAGAACUGGAAAUGAUAUUCCUAGCUGUUGAAUUGUACAUUUAAUAAACAACAAUAGUCAUACUAUGGCUGCAGGUGUAUUGCUUUACACUAGUUUUGGACUACACAACCUUCCCUAAGUGAGAGCAACAUGUUACAGCUAUGAAAUCUUUCAGAUCGUAACAAUAUUACAAAAAUCAUUGAUAUCUUGGCCGAAAUGGCUCAUUGAUAUCUUCUGUACAGCCAUUUUUCCCAAAUGCUAGGCUACCAUCCAAAAAUACUCAACCAAGUUAAUACUCAAAAGCUAAUGCCCAAAAAUCUAAUCAAAAUAUCAUGACAAGUCAUGCCUUCCGAUCAUGGCAUGCGCUUCGGCCAUGAAUUCCGCUGGAAACCUCGCAUUCAUAUUCUGGAUCUCAUGCAAACUAUAUCAUUUUUGCAAAGUUGGAUGUCUCUUGACGAAACUAGGAUCCUUGAAAGAGGCAGGCUUAAAGCCACUGUUCUUUGUUAUAUUUUUCUGAAAUUGAUUCAACUGAUGUGUUGUUCUCAAAAGUCCCCACAUUACCUAACGAACCUGUGUCCUUGGCAUUUGUUGGCAAGCCAGCAAGUAUAUCAUUGAUGAUAUGAUUUACUGAUUCCUUCUCUGCCCAAUUCGCUGCUCUGCUGUUAUUAACCAUCUGCUGGAGCAAUUUUUGAAUCAUACAGUCUUGUAUGUUCUGGUUGCUUUCAGAGAACUGGGAAAUCGACAAGGGUAAGUUCUGGGUAAAUUCUGGAUUCAAGAUCUUGGGACCUUGAAAUGGUCGACUGUCGUUAGCCCUCUUGUAUAAACUAGAAGGUUCCCCCAAUUUGCUGACAUUUGAGUUGAUGGAUGUCUGUCUCAGCAAUUUGCAGUAAUCACCAGGAUGUGCCAAUGCUGCCAUUUCAGAGGUAGUCAAAAGUCCAUCCUUGCUCAUGUUUGAGUUAACAUUUUCAUUGUUGCUUUGACCACCGGAAGAAGAUAACAGCUUAGUAGUGUCAGCUGCCAUACCUUGUGAAACAAGCUUCUCCUUUUCUUGAAAUUCAUUUUUCUGGAAUUUGGUUGCAGAAAGUUUUUGGGAGUAAUUCUUCAAGCUCUCAAUUGGUCCAAUUUUAGUCUCCCAGCUGAAAGUCAUUAGGUCUUUCAUGCUAUUGAAAACAUCGGCUAUCUGCAAGCACCGGAUGUAUCUCUUCGAGAACCCCAACUCACCAACCAGCUGGAAAUCCAAAAUUUUUUCAAGCUUGCAUCCAGCUGAUAAUAACAUAUUGCAAUUUUCUUCUAGGACAUGUGGUGAUAUCUUAUCUGAUCCACUGCCUUCAAGGAUUGUUUGAUAUUUUUGUGCAGCAUGAACAAACUCAUUAACCUGUGACGCAAUUAAACUUCGAGGCAACAGUUCUUCGUGGUCACUCGAGCAAAAUUCCCAAGAUAGUAUCUGAAAUACAUGCCAGGUGUAUGAAAUUUUGAAUGCCAGCAUAUUAUAUAUUGUAUGCCAUAUGCGCAAGCUAUUACUCACCUUCAAAUCAAGAGUGAAGACAAUACGAAGUUUGCCCUUACGAACAACACGAAAUUGGUGAAAAACAGUUUCAUGAACUGCCUUACCAUAUUCCAACAUCAUUAACCCAGAAGGGAGUCUGCACUCACAUGGCAGUUCAAGAAAUAAAAGUUCAUCGAUAACACCACUUUCAAACUGUACUUUUUUAAGCCUAGGAAGCACUUCGAAAGUUGCCUCUGCCAUGAAGAGAAAGACAGAAAGAAGUUCAAUGCCACAAGGGGAGAAAAGAAGGUUAAAUAUAACAAUGAGUUUAAAAAUACUAGCCACAAUUCAGCUGACUAAGAAAGGCACAUGGACAGUUAAUUUGCUUACCAAACCCUCUUCCAGAUUUAGAGCUGCAUAACUCACACUGCCAUGUGCCCUGAAAGACAAGAAAGCAACAACUUCAAGCUAUGCAAAUUGAAUGGAGAACCAAUGAAAUAAGAAGCAAAAGAUGCAUAUAAUACAGAAUCAACUCAAAUAGGCAACGUGUGAAAAAGAGAAGAUAUUUAUCAGCAUUUUAAGGUCAUGAUUAACAAUACAAUUGUAUAGAGUAAAACUGGAUUCCAAAUCACUGUUCCUUGGGCCAUUUUUUUUCUGCAUUUAUUCUUUUUUUUCCUACAAAUUUUAUUUUUUUAAUUUGUUCUUUUAACAAGAGUGUCAGUGGACCCAUCAACAGACUCAAUUUGAGAUAUUAAAUCAUAAUAAAAUUUAUUAACCGAAAAGUGAUUUCCUGGCUUUCUUUUUCUAACUAGUCAAAAGCACAUAGACACUUUGUAUAUAGUUCAAACUCUAAACUCUUCAAUUUUAGGAUCGGCAGUAUUCCCUUUUUUUUUUACUUAAAAAAAAAAUUUGUUUACUCCUUUUGCACAAUAGUAUUAACCCAUCCAUCGGUUGAUCCAAUUUAAAAUAUUAAACCAUAAUAAGAUUUAACAAUUGAUAAGUGAUAUUUUGUAUAUUUUCUUUAUUGAGUCAAAAGCACUUAGACACUUUGUAUAGAAUAAACACUUAUAUACUAAAAUUCAAUCCCAUUUCACUGUUCCUAUCAACAGUGUUUUUUAUUUUUCCUCAUUUUUUUAUUUUUUACUUUUUAAAAUUACUUUUUUAGAUUUUUUUUUUCACAAUAUACUAAAAUGAUACCCACAUUUACUGUUCACAAGAUCAAUGCUUUUUUAUUUUUUACUUUUUUUUAAAUUGUUUUCUUUGA
rnacentral:misc_RNA from 1 species